UUGUGGUGUACUGAUCGUCAACACGUUUUUCAUGGCGUCAUGCUCGCUGUAUUUAGCUUAAUAGACACUUAAAUCCCAUUCCAAUUACAAAAGUAACACAAAAUCUCUCUCAUACACUGCCCUUCUUCAUCGAACUCGAUCUCUCUCUCUCUCUCACAAAUCGCAGAUUCAUAAUCGAACAAAAAAGUCGAUCUAAUCUGAUCGAAAUCCGAACUCGAUCUGAUCUCUCUUGCAUUUUGCUAGAUCUAUUCUUGCUCUAGCUUUUCUUCAUCAAACUCAAACUCGAUCUCUCUCGCAAAUUGCAGAUCCCAAAUCGAACAAAAAAGUCUAUCUAAUCUGAUCUCUCUCGCAUUUUGUUAGAUCUGCUGAUUAACAAGGUUUCAAGCAAGUUGUUUGUGUUUUGUUUUUCAUUAUCGAGUGUUAAUCGGUGUUUGAUUUCAUUGUAGGUGGCGAUGAAAUGUAGAGAUCAGUUACAUGAACUUGUAAAGGAAGAGAUAGAGAAGAAGGAUUCGAGUACGGAGGAGUGGAAGAUCGCGAUGGAGAGAAGCUUCAAUCGCAUGGACAAUGAGGUGAUUGCAUGGAACGACAGCGUUCUGCGCACCGAGAAAUAUCAAUCCGUUGUUGAAGGAUCUGAGUGAGAAGAAGCAGAGCUUCGGGCGAAACGUGGUGUCACUGGCAGUGGAGCUCAAGGAGGCCCGAAGCCGUCUCGCUUCACAGGAGCAGUCAUUGGCUCUUCAAACCCUAACUAGACAUGCAUGUGAAUUUGCAGAGGCCAAAGCUAAGAAGAUGGAGGAGGAGAUGUAUAGAUUACAGGAGAGCUUAGAGGAGAGAAAUGGGCAGCUUCAAGCAUCAGCAUCUACUGCUGGGAUGGUUGAGCUCUUGGUUGGUGAACCGUUUUAUUAUGGAAAUGAUAGCAUGCUUCCAUGGCAAAACCUGUGGUUUUGGUAAAUAAUACUACUUUAAUUUGUAUUUGUACGAUAUGUCUUAAUUUGAGCAUCAAAUAGUGUGUCCGAACUAGGAAAUAUUGCAUUCAGUUUUAUCUCAGAUUGAAAUGCUUAGUUUUGUAAGAAUAUCACUCGCCCUGAUCAUUCUGGAUGUGUUAAUGCCUGAAAAUGAAUUAUAGUCCUACUAUAAGGUGUUGGAAGUUUACUCAACUCUUAUUCUUAAUUCAAAAUUUUCGUAGGCAAACUUAUUGAGAUGUUAUUCGGACUAUUUCUUCAUCAGUGAUGCUUAAGAUCUUCUUUACCUAAGGUUUUGAAUAAGGUAAACUUAAGGACUAUUUCUUAGGGGCAUGUGGUGAUUUACCCGCAUCCCAAGAGAGCCCUUGUUUUCCCUUUUUUGUUUGGCAGGGUGGGGAGAAUAAGGUAAUCAAUUUGUGUAAUGGAAAGUACUUUUUAUUUGAGAAUAUAAUGAUAUUACAUUUUGAUAUUAAAUGCAAUUUGAGUUCAAAUCAUUUCAGGGGCUCAGUGAGAUAUCUACAGUCAUGGAGUUUGAUUUCUCAAAACCCAUUAGUCCUUGUUUUGGGAAAGCCCAGGUUGAAUUUACGGAGCUUGGGAUAUGCCAUGGUUUUGUGCUCUGGAUUGAUUGGGUGAUGGACAUUGAUAACUCCAUUUGUGCUUUCAACAGGACCUGAUAAAAGAUACUGGAAGCAAGGAAUUAAGCUGUUGGCCAAGCCAGUCACAGUUGGAAUCCAUGGAUCAAGAAGAGGUAACAUUUCAGCGGAAAUUGAGGCGUCCUUCAACCCUUCAAACGGUGAAAUUGAUAUCAAAUAUGCUUUCACAUAAUUCUAGAGUUGCAUUAGCUGAGCCUCUCUUCGUGUAUUCUCUCAAUUGAACUGCUGGUGCUCAAUCAUUUAUUCCCACUGUAUCAUUAGGUACAUUAGUUACAAAUUUUAUGGAAUCGUGUAAUGACAGAUUUCAGGAUUCAAUUUUUCCUACACUGCUCAAUCUUUUCUAAUGGGUUUUGGAGCACAUGUUAUGGACUCCUGUUUCACCACCUCACAAGUCCGUUGUGCUUGUUAAGAUUCAUUCUCCAAUGCGUUCUGAUCCAAACCGUGUUGUAAAGUGGGUACCUGACUGUAGCACUAUUGUUGCUGCCAGGAUUGCAUCAGAAAAGUUAUUAAGAUGGAGUUGGUUUCAAGAUAAAACUCGAGAUAGAUCUUCCGCGCAUCCUCGUCCAAUUUUGUGGUUCAUUUCAACAUGCUAGAUUUCGCAAUGAGGAAAAGAAGGCCUGCCAGAGUCUUUCUAGAAGCAAUCGCUGAGAUGCCAAGCAAGUCUAGACCGCUUCUCUUCACCGGCUAGGAUCUCCGAACACCCAGCAAAAUGAUUUUGACUUUCCAUGGAGAAUUCGCCCACUACGUCAUUGAAAACUGCUCCAUUCUCUGAAGGGUUCUCGGUAAGAGUCUCUUUGGAGGAAGAGAACCAACUCCAUAAAUGAGAAUGAGAGUUCUGUGAAAACAAGAAAAAAAGAAGCAAGAACAGAAGAUAAUGGUUUUGUUGAGGGAGUAGUAAUCGAGCGGGUGAUGUUUGGGAGCCAAAUUGAGAUUAUGUUGCUCUUUUUAUUUAUUUAUAUUUUUUUUUUUUUGAGGACUCGAAUCUUUUAGUACAAUAUAUUUUAAUGAUGGUUGAUGGAUA